rnacentral:hammerhead_ribozyme from 1 species
AUCUAGUUGACGAGUCUUAAAUAAGACGGAACAUGCGUCCCGGAU